rnacentral:ribozyme from 1 species
UUUUUUUUUUUUUUUUUUUUGCCUUUUUUUUUUUCCCAAGGGGUUGGGCGUCUUAGACUUUUCAUAAAAGUA